AGACUUUUAUUGUGAAGUUCUCACCUACUUCUGUGAAAUCCCUGUGUCAGUUCAACAGAAACAAAAAAAACGGCAACAAAGGAAACAGACAAAAGACGGACGGAUAACUGUGUAAAGCUGUAAUGUGUUUUUGGCAUCUACCUGGAAGGCGAACAGCUCUUACGGUGUGACUAUGACUGUGGGGUAAAUAAAUGGGUUGGAAUACCCCGUCAUAGUCCAUCAGUUA